CCGGCAACAAGGUUCAAGUUUGUGUUAAGUUUGUUUAACGCGCAUAUUUUAUACGGAAGUGGAUUUGCUGAUUAUUUUAGUUUUUAGAACUGAAGCUGAAAAAUAAGCGCUGUAAUUACCACCUAUUACGAAGUGCGGACUCUUCUUACUCCACCGCCAAAUGACACUCGUUGGUUGAAUAAAAGUAUGGUCACAAAAUCUUUGAACAUAUUCGAGGCACAAUCCCAAUGGAUCCACAGCAGGACGUUGACAAACACGAUCAAGAAAAACGUUAA